CCCUUAGAUGUUCUGGGCCGCACGCGCGCUACACUGUUGCAUUCAACGAGCCUAUCCUUGGCCGAAAGGUCCGGGUAAUCUUGGAAACUGCAACGUGAUGGGGAUAGAUUAUUGCAAUUAUUAGUCUUCAACGAGGAAUGCCUAGUAAGCGUGAGUCAUCAGCUCGCGUUGAUUACGUCCCUGCCCUUUGUACACACCGCCCGUCGCUCCUACCGAUUGGGUGUGCUGGUGAAGUGUUCGGAUUGGUUUCAACUGAUGGCAACAUCGGUCGUUACUGAGAAGAACAUUAAACCCUCCCACCUAGAGGAAGGAGAAGUCGUAACA
rnacentral:rRNA from 1 species